UGAAAACAAAAGAGAUGAAUGGGACCUG
rnacentral:piRNA from 1 species